GUAAAAUUUAACCAUGAGAGAUACCGUAUUCACAUCAUCAAAUAUGCAUACUUACAAACAAAACCCUUUUCAGUCGAUGAUGGAGAGCUACUGCAGAACCCAUUUCCCACUCGAUCCCAGCAGCAUUGAGCCUAUCAUUCCUGGUGCAUCCAAGCAGCAAGAACUUCAGAGACCACAUAACAGGGAUGCAGAGGUAUCAGCGUCGGCACUUUCUGUUUCUUAACACAUGCGGCAAGGCAGCACAUAUGCGAAAAUGAACCUACUGAAAAUGUAAUAACAUAGUUUCUUCAUACUGCCUAAGGGUGCAUGUCCCCUAAGGCAGUACAUAUGUCUUCAGACUUGAAUGAUAAAUUCUGCAAUCGGUUCCUUCAAACUUCCAUUAUCUCUUUGGUUCGGUUAAAGGAACCUGACCUUGGUUUCUCAAAAAAGAAGAAGAAAGGACCUGACCUUGGAAUGCAGGAAUUAUAGUUUCCAUCUAAAAGGUUUGAGAUUUGACUCUUAAACCUUGUAACUUUGAAAGAGGACAUUGGUAGGGCUUUUUAUAUGUUUUCUGAUUCACAGAUGAGAUUAGAUAAUAGCUCUGGCUACUGGUUCUUGGGUGCUUCAAGUGAUGUCUUCAUGGAAAAUGAUAGGUUGGGUUAAAAACCUCUAAUUGUUUUCUAAAAGUUGGCCAUGAUAAUUGAAAACUGCACAUUCAAAUCCAGGACUCAAAUCUUUUGUUUGCUUUCAUUUACAAAAACACCAGAAAUCAAGGGAAAUAGAUAUUUUGGACAAAUCCUACUCUUGUUAUGAAUCCCUCUAGACAAAAGCCUUCAUGCUAACAACCUGAUUAGGCCACCCAUAUUUACUUUACAUGCUAAAUAACUAACCAAAACAUGAGGAGCUCAAUGAAGGAGGGAAACCAUUCACCGUCCUUAGUUAGAAUCUUACAGUAAACUAAAGAAAUCUAGGAUUCUCCAGCUCAGAUUGCUUCUUGAAGAUGGGAUCGUAUUGCCUCUGGACAUGAUUUUUUAUUGAUG
rnacentral:lncRNA from 1 species